UUCGGCUCUUCGUAGCUCGCUGAGUCACCAGUCGGCCUGCCUUGUUCAGCUUCCUCCGUCUGGAGCCCCGCCUUUCUCCUAGUCGCUUUCCCGACUCUCCGUCGCUCCGGCUCCCCGUCGCACACCGUUUGCAGCCCCGCCUUUCUCUGCGUGUCGCUGCUUUCUCCAGAAGCUCAGUUUUUUGCCUCGUCACCUCGGCCCCUCGUUAUCGUCUUAAAGGGCCAUUAAAGAUUGCUUCAAUGGGUCUUUGUUGUGUCCAUCAACUAACAGCUGUAUUCCAGUUUCCCAGCGCUGCAAUGGUAUUGUAGACUGCACUGAUUUCUUCCUUGAUGAAUCUAGCUGUUCAGCCUGUCCAGAGUCGUAUUGCAAAAAUGGAGGAACAUGCAACAAAGAAGCUUUUCCCCUCUGCAGAUGUGAGAAAGAAUGGCAAGGAAACCGUUGCCACAUAAAAGUUAGGCCUCCUUUGACUCUGUCUUCUGGUUCCUUAAAAAAUGAUAUUUGGACUGGGCUGAGUGUUGGAUUAGCUUUGCUGUUGAUUGAAAUUGCGGUCGCUGUUUCGUGCAUCCUUUCAAAGAGGAAAUUGCCAAGAACGAAACCUGAGGAGUUCUUGAACACCGCCUUUGCAAACCCCUUGUAUGAGGCUCACGGUGUUAAGUCUACAGAGUAUGCUGCCUCACUGGGAGUUCAGAUCAGUGUUUCUCCAUGGCAGGCACAGCAGGGGCUUUUCCACAAUAAUGACAUAAUGCCUGCUUCCUUUGCCAAUCCUCUGUAUGGCACAUCUACCGAAAAAUGGGGAGAUGCUGUGAAAUGUCAAUGAAUACGGACACAAAAUAGGACAGAGACUUCAUGAAGUUUUAUCUGACAAGAUAUCUUUUUCUUCUGUUUCAGAUGAUAAAUAGCAUUAGCAAAAUGAAUGAAAAUGGAAUGAUUGCCAUAUUAGAAUAAUUAUGUUCUCCAAAUAACGCUUCAUUCAAAAUAGCAUCCACCCACAAGAGAAAAUGCAGUCUUACAUGAUAUUUAUGUUGGCAAGCAACAGUCUUGGGUAAUUUACUUUUGAAUU